rnacentral:lncRNA from 1 species
GGGUUUGUAAUUCAGGGUAUGAGAUGGAAGAUGCAGAAAUCUCAACUCUUUCACCAUAGUUUCUAGAAGGUGAAAGAAUGACUUAUGACCUUCCAGUAUUGUGAUAGCUGACUAAUAGUGGUGAAGCUUCCAGAUGUGUAUUAUUUUUGAUAAGAUGAACAUUUAAGAUAGAGUGACCAUACAUAUCCUAAGGCACUUCUACCAUACAGCUCCCUACCCACCCAACCAGACUGUGAAAGGUUCCAAGCUCCUAGUGAUAGGAUCAGUUUCUGGUAAGGUCUUUAUAUUCCCCCCUCCCCAUUAAUUUGUGGCUUUGGCAAUACACU